GAAAUGCGAUAAGUAAUGUGAAUUGCAGAAUUCAGUGAAUCAUCGAAUCUUUGAACGCACCUUGCGCUCCUUGGUAUUCCUUGGAGCAUGCCUGUUUGAGUAUCAUGAAAUCUUCAAAGUAAAUCUUUUGUUAACUCAAUUAGCUUCUACUUUGGUAUUGGAGGUCUUUGCAGCUUCACACCUGCUCCUCUUUGUUCAUUAGCUGGAUCUCAGUGUUAUGCUUGGUUCCACUCGGCGUGAUAAGUUAUCUAUCGCUGAGGACACUGUAAAAGGUGGCCAAGGUAAAUGCAGAUGAACCGCUUCUAAUAGUCCAUUGACUUGGACAAUACUUUUAUGAUCUGAUCUCAAAUCAGGUAGGACUACCCGCUGAACUUAAGC
rnacentral:misc_RNA from 1 species